rnacentral:rRNA from 1 species
GUCGAUCGCUCUUUUCGGAGAGAGAGGCGCACGGGUGAGUAACACGUGGGAAUAUACCCUUGAGUACGGAAUAACUAUUGGAAACGAUAGCUAAUACCGUAUACGCCCUACGGGGGAAAGAUUUAUCGCUCAAGGAUUAGCCCGCGUCUGAUUAGCUAGUUGGUGAGGUAAUGGCUCACCAAGGCGACGAUCAGUAGCUGGUUUGAGAGAAUGAUCAGCCACACUGGGACUGAGACACGGCCCAGACUCCUACGGGAGGCAGCAGUGGGGAAUAUUGGACAAUGGGCGCAAGCCUGAUCCAGCCAUGCCGCGUGAGUGAAGAAGGCCUUCGGGUUGUAAAGCUCUUUCAGACGUGAAGAUGAUGACGGUAACGUCAGAAGAAGCCCCGGCUAACUUCGUGCCAGCAGCCGCGGUAAUACGAAGGGGGCAAGCGUUGUUCGGAAUUACUGGGCGUAAAGCGCGCGUAGGCGGCGUCGUCAGUCAGAGGUGAAAUCCCAGGGCUCAACCUUGGAAUUGCCUUUGAUACUGCGAUGCUUGAGUUCGAGAGAGGGUGGCGGAAUACCCAGUGUAGAGGUGAAAUUCGUAGAUAUUGGGUAGAACACCAGUGGCGAAGGCGGCCACCUG